rnacentral:rRNA from 1 species
UACAGAGGUCUCAAGCGUUGUUCGGAUUCAUUGGGCGUAAAGGGUGUGUAGGUGGCGCGCUAAGUCGGGUGUGAAAUUUCGGAGCUUAACUCCGAAACUGCAUUCGAUACUGGCGUGCUUGAGGACUGGAGAGGAGACUGGAAUUAUGGUGUAGCAGGUGAAAUGCGUAGAUAUCGUAAGGAAGACCAGUGGCGAAGGCGGGUCUCUGGGCCGAUACUGACGCUGAGGAGCGAAAGCGUGGGGAGCGAACAGG